rnacentral:rRNA from 1 species
GAUGAACGCUGGCGGCGUGCUUAACACAUGCAAGUCGAACGAAGCACUUUGGACAGAUUCUUCGGAUGAAGUCCUUAGUGACUGAGUGGCGGACGGGUGAGUAACGCGUGGGUAACCUGCCUCAUACAGGGGGAUAACAGUUAGAAAUGGCUGCUAAUACCGCAUAAGCGCACGGUACUGCAUGGUACAGUGUGAAAAACUCCGGUGGUAUGAGAUGGACCCGCGUUGGAUUAGCUAGUUGGCAGGGUAACGGCCUACCAAGGCGACGAUCCAUAGCCGGCCUGAGAGGGUGGACGGUCACAUUGGGACUGAGACACGGCCCAGACUCCUACGGGAGGCAGCAGUGGGGAAUAUUGCACAAUGGGGGAAACCCUGAUGCAGCGACGCCGCGUGAGCGAAGAAGUAUUUCGGUAUGUAAAGCUCUAUCAGCAGGGAAGAAAAUGACGG